rnacentral:rRNA from 1 species
CGCACGGUGAGUAACACGUAUCCAACCUGCCGUCUACUCUUGGCCAGCCUUCUGAAAGGAAGAUUAAUCCAGGAUGGCAUCAUGAGUUCACAUGUCCGCAUGAUUAAAGGUAUUUUCCGGUAGACGAUGGGGAUGCGUUCCAUUAGAUAGUAGGCGGGGUAACGGCCCACCUAGUCAACGAUGGAUAGGGGUUCUGAGAGGAAGGUCCCCCACAUUGGAACUGAGACACGGUCCAA